rnacentral:rRNA from 1 species
GAUGAACGCUGGCGGCGUGCCUAAUACAUGCAAGUCGAGCGAACAGACGAGGAGCUUGCUCCUCUGACGUUAGCGGCGGACGGGUGAGUAACACGUGGAUACCCUACCUAUAAGACUGGGAUAACUUCGGGAAACCGGAGCUAAUACCGGAUAAUAUAUUGAACCGCAUGGUUCAAUAGUGAAAGACGGUUUUGCUGUCACUUAUAGAUGGAUCCGCGCCGCAUUAGCUAGUUGGUAAGGUAACGGCUUACCAAGGCAUCGAUGCGUAGCCGACCUGAGAGGGUGAUCGGCCACACUGGAACUGAGACACGGUCCAGACUCCUACGGGAGGCAGCAGUAGGGAAUCUUCCGCAAUGGGCGAAAGCUUGACGGAGCAACGCCGCGUGAGUGAUGAAGGUCUUCGGAUCGUAAAGCUCUGUUAUUAGGGAAGAAAAAAUGUGUAAGUAUCUAUGCACGUCUUGACGGUACCUAAUCAGAAAGCCACGGCUAACUACGUG